rnacentral:rRNA from 1 species
UCGGAUUGCAGGCUGCAACCCGCCUGUAUGAAGUUGGAAUCGCUAGUAAUCGCGGAUCAGCAUGCCGCGGUGAAUACGUUCCCGGGCCUUGUACACACCGCCCGUCACACCAUGAGAGUCGGGAACACCCGAAGUCCGUAGCCUAACCGCAAGGGGGCGCGGCCGAAGGUGGGUUCGAUAAUUGGGGUGAAGUCGUAACAAGGUAUC